UGGGGAAUAUUGGGCAAUGGGCGAAAGCCUGACCCAGCAACGCCGCGUGAAGGAAGAAGGCUUUCGGGUUGUAAACUUCUUUUAUGUGGGACGAAAAAAAUGACGGUACCGCAUGAAUAAGCCACGGCUAACUACGUGCCAGCAGCCGCGGUAAUACGUAGGUGGCAAGCGUUGUCCGGAUUUACUGGGUGUAAAGGGCGCGUAGGCGGGAAUGCAAGUCAGGUGUGAAAUCCAUGGGCUCAACCCAUGAACUGCACUUGAAACUGUAUUUCUUGAGUGAUGGAGAGGCAGGCGGAAUUCCUAGUGUAGCGGUGAAAUGCGUAGAUAUUAGGAGGAACACCAGUGGCGAAGGCGGCCUGCUGGACAUUAACUGACGCUGAGGCGCGAAAGCGUGGGGAGCAAACAGG
rnacentral:rRNA from 2 species